rnacentral:rRNA from 1 species
GAUGAAUGCUGGCGGCGUGCCUAACACAUGCAAGUCGAGCGGCAGCGAGGGGUGCUUGCACCCUGUCGGCGAGCGGCGAACGGCUGAGUAACGCGUAGGAAUUUGCCCCAAAGUGAGGAAUAACUGCCCGAAAGGGUAGCUAAUGCCGCAUAUGGUCUUCGGAUUAAAGGAUUUAUCCGCUUUGGGAGAAGCCUGCGUUGGAUUAGGUUGUUGGUAGGGUAAUGGCCUACCAAGCCGACGACCCAUAGCUGGUCUGAGAGGAUGAUCAGCCAGACUGGAACUGAGACACGGUCCAGACUCCUACGGGAGGCAGCAGUGAGGAAUCUUCCACAAUGGGCGAAAGCCUGAUGGAGCAACGCCGCGUGAAGGAUGAAGGCCUUCGGGUUGUAAACUUCUUUUAUGAGUGAAGAAUAUGACGGUAACUCAUGAAUAAGCACCGGCUAACUACGUG